rnacentral:tRNA from 1 species
UGGUCCAGUGGUUAGGAUUCCUCGCUUUCACCGAGGCGGCCGGGGUUCGAUUCCCCGUAUCGGAG